rnacentral:rRNA from 1 species
GACGAACGCUGGCGGCGUGCUUAACACAUGCAAGUCGAACGGAAAGGCCCUGCUUUUGUGGGGUGCUCGAGUGGCGAACGGGUGAGUAACACGUGAGUAACCUGCCCUUGACUUUGGGAUAACUUCAGGAAACUGGGGCUAAUACCGGAUAGGAGCUCCUGCUGCAUGGUGGGGGUUGGAAAGUUUCGGCGGUUGGGGAUGGACUCGCGGCUUAUCAGCUUGUUGGUGGGGUAGUGGCUUACCAAGGCUUUGACGGGUAGCCGGCCUGAGAGGGUGACCGGCCACAUUGGGACUGAGAUACGGCCCAGACUCCUACGGGAGGCAGCAGUGGGGAAUAUUGCACAAUGGGCGGAAGCCUGAUGCAGCAACGCCGCGUGCGGGAUGACGGCCUUCGGGUUGUAAACCGCUUUCGCCUGUGACGAAGCGUGAGUGACGGUAAUGGGUAAAGAAGCACCGGCUAACUACGUGCCAGCAGCCGCGGUGAUACGUAGGGUGCGAGCGUUGUCCGGAUUUAUUGGGCGUAAAGGGCUCGUAGGUGGUUGAUCGCGUCGGAAGUGUAAUCUUGGGGCUUAACCCUGAGCGUGCUUUCGAUACGGGUUGACUUGAGGAAGGUAGGGGAGAAUGGAAUUCCUGGUGGAGCGGUGGAAUGCGCAGAUAUCAGGAGGAACACCAGUGGCGAAGGCGGUUCUCUGGGGCCUUCCUGACGCUGAGGAGCGAAAGCGUGGGGAGCGAACAGGCUUAGAUACCCUGGUAGUCCACGCUGUAAACGGUGGGUACUAGGUGUGGGGUCCAUUCCACGGGUUCCGUGCCGUAGCUAACGCUUUAAGUACCCCGCCUGGGGAGUACGGCCGCAAGGCUAAAACUCAAAGGAAUUGACGGGGCCCCGCACAAGCGGCGGAGCAUGCGGAUUAAUUCGAUGCAACGCGUAGAACCUUACCUGGGUUUGACAUGGAUCGGGAGUGCUCAGAGAUGGGUGUGCCUCUUUUGGGGUCGGUUCACAGGUGGUGCAUGCCUGUCGUCAGCUCGUGUCGUGAGAUGUUGGGUUAAGUCCCGCAACGAGCGCAACCCUUGUUCACUGUUGCCAGCACGUUAUGGUGGGGACUCAGUGGAGACCGCCGGGGUCAACUCGGAGGAAGGUGGGGAUGACGUCAAGUCAUCAUGCCCCUUAUGUCCAGGGCUUCACGCAUGCUACAAUGGCUGGUACAGAGAGUGGCGAGCCUGUGAGGGUGAGCGAAUCUCGGAAAGCCGGUCUCAGUUCGGAUUGGGGUCUGCAACUCGACCUCAUGAAGUCGGAGUCGCUAGUAAUCGCAGAUCAGCAACGCUGCGGUGAAUAAGUUCCCGGGGCU